rnacentral:rRNA from 1 species
CGGGGAUGACGUCAAGUCCUCGAUGGCCCUUACAUCCCGGGCUACACACGUGCUACAAUGGCAGGUACAGAGGGCUGCGAAGCCGCGAGGUGGAGCGAAUCCCAGAAAACCUGUCUCAGUCCGGAUUGAAGUCUGCAACUCGACUUCAUGAAGGCGGAAUCGCUAGUAACCGCGAAUCAGCAGGUCGCGGUGAAUACGUUCCCGGGCCUUC